UAAUAACACAAGUUAAUUUCGAUACUUAGCUAAGGUUUUUUGUGAGCGAAUUUUUGGUGGGUUUCAAACCAUGUGUCAUUGUUUGAUUUGGCCUUCUUCUUUUUUUUCUUUUUUUUUUCUUUCUUUUGUUCUCUUUCUCGUCUCUGUCUCUCGAUUCAUCGUCUUCUCCGUCAAGAGGAGAGACCCAACGAUCUCCUCCGCGUUCUCUGCCGAAACCGACGAUCGGAACCGAGGACGACUCUUUUGUCUUCACGGAGUCUCGUCCCAGUUGUCUCGUCUUCUCCAUCGGAUCAAGGAUCGAAACCGACGACAGACAACGUCUCUCUGGCUCCUCACGGAGAUUCCUCCGCCUUCUCAGCCUAACCGACGAUCGAAACCGAGGAGGACUCUGUUGGCUCCUCCGCCGACGACUCUGUUGUCUCCUCCGCCGAAGACUCUGUUGGUUCCUCCGCCGACGACUGUUGGAGAUAAGUUCUCACUUCCCAACUAUUGCAUCCUUCUCGUUUCAAUUCGAGCUUUAGUUAAGUUAAUGAUUGUGAUAACAAUUUUGUGUGUCAUUGUAAAGCUUUGCCGAUUACGGUUUCAAGCUUAGUCUGAUUGUGAUUACGGUUUUAAGUUUUAGUUAAGUGUAUUGUUGUUUCAAGCUUUAUCUGAUUGUGAUUACGGUUUUAAACAGAACAGACAGAGAGUGUCUUGUAUUGUUGUCUGAAAACUCUUUAGAACCAUUUGCUGGUUUGUUCAAACAAGUUGAUUAUUUGUGAAUGCUAAUUAAGGUAGUUUAUUGGUUAUUUGCGUAGAUGAAUCAUGUGAGGAGGCAAAGACAGCUUAUUUGUUGGAGGUUUAUGGCGCGGGGAUGACGCAAAGAUCAGUGAUCUGACUACUUGAUUGCUUCAUCUGCUGGUUAGUUUUACUGAGAUGUUGCAGAGUCAGGAAGAGACUUUCAUUCCUGAAACCUUUCCGUAUGGAAGUUUUUCACAUGGAUCAUCACAACUUCCUUCUCAAACUCCAAGCUUCUGUGAAGACUCAUCUCCAGCGCGUAAAGGAAGGAAGAAAUGGUCUGUCACAGAUGAUCUAGUGCUCGUUAGCGCAUGGCUAAACACGAGCAAGGAUCCGGUGGUAGACAAUGAGCAGAAAUUGAAUCUAUGUUUUAAAUGUUAACUUUUAAUAUGUUUUAUAUAAUAAAUAAAUUUUAUCUUAAAUAAUUUUUUUUUAAGAACUCA